rnacentral:rRNA from 1 species
AGGACGAACGCUGGCGGCGUGCUUAACACAUGCAAGUCGAACGGAAAGGCCCUUUCGGGGGUACUCGAGUGGCGAACGGGUGAGUAACACGUGGGUGAUCUGCCCUGCACUUUGGGAUAAGCCUGGGAAACUGGGUCUAAUACCGAAUACACCUUGCUGGCUGCAUGGCCUGGUGGGGGAAAGCUUUUGCGGUGUGGGAUGGGCCCGCGGCCUAUCAGCUUGUUGGUGGGGUGAUGGCCUACCAAGGCGACGACGGGUAGCCGGCCUGAGAGGGUGUCCGGCCACACUGGGACUGAGAUACGGCCCAGACUCCUACGGGAGGCAGCAGUGGGGAAUAUUGCACAAUGGGCGCAAGCCUGAUGCAGCGACGCCGCGUGAGGGAUGACGGCCUUCGGGUUGUAACCUCUUUCAGUAUCGACGAAGCGCAAGUGACGGUAGGUACAGAAGAAGCACCGGCCAACUACGCGCCAGCAGCCGC